rnacentral:lncRNA from 1 species
UGGAGGCCUACCUGGAAGCAGCGUCACUUCCCCGUGGGGGGCGCCCACUCAGCCUGGCCAGCAGCCUGGCCCCGAUGACGGCCGGGCCAGUGGCGCUGUGCCCUGUGAGGGAGCGGGCAGCAUUCCCGCCUUACCCACUGGACUCCAGUCCAGGUGCGGCCUCCAGCCCCCACUGUGACAACCAAAAGGUGCCCAGAAGCCGCCACAUGUCCCUGGAGGCAAUGGCCUCGUGUUGGACACCGCUGGCCCAGGCGGCAGUGAAGGUUCGUGGGGACACGUGUUGGGACACGUGUUAGUCCCCGUAGCCUUUGCGUGUUCCUGUGGGUGUGGGAAAUUCCCAAAAUGAACAGCUCUAAGCUGCACCGCAGCCUGAGUGCGGGCGCCCAGGGCCGGGCCUGCGUGUGACCCUGCCACCUGCCGCCCAGGGUCUAGGACCAGGGUCUCAGCUCCCCGGUCGCUGAGAACCCAGGCACAGGCCUCGCUGUCCGGUUGGCAGACUUCUGACCUCCCCUGGGCAGCGCGCUGGGCCGCGGCCUGGAGACGGGAAACGGGAUUCACUGUGCGUCCUUACGCGGUGCUGGGUGCCCCGGGCCCCUUCCCCACCAUUGCUCCCUCGAUCCUGGAGGGAAUCGGGUUGCCAUCAUUGGCCACUGAAGUGUCACUGAGGCGGGCCCAUGUGCCCCUGGUCAGCUGGCAGAGGUAACAGCAGGGGCCGAGGUGUCCCAGCACAUAGUAGGUGCUCAGUAAGGACCUGCUGCUGGGCCUGUUGUUGUGGACAGUUCCCAUGUCAGAAUUCCCCCAGAGUGAGCCCCCGCAGGAGCCGCAGAGGCCACCAGGUCCCACCAGCAGGAGGGGACAGGGCAGCUGUCCCCCACCAGCCACUGUCCCCUGGAUCAGCCUGUCCUGCUCCCACACAGCCAGCCUGGCCAAGGUGGUGGCGGAGGCAGGCCUCCUCGUGGCCCCGCCUGGGGGUGUGUCCUGGGACACUAGGAGAUAGAGUCACACACUUGGGCACGGCCGUCAGGGGCCACCUUCACCCUGCCCACCUGGCCACCAGGCCUCCACCCCAGGCCCUGGCUCCUGCUGCGUGGAGACCUCUGCCUCUGCCGUCGCCGCACACCGGUGUCUUCCCUGCUGUCCUGUCCCCUGUCUGUCUCUGUCACCGUCACCGUGCCUCUGCCCAGGUCCGUCUCUCCAUCACUGUGUUUGCUUGUCUCUGCCUGUCCCUGUCUCUUGGCCGUCUCUUCCCCAUCUUCCUGUGUCGCACACAUGCCGCGCAUAGGCGCUCUCUUUGUCCCCACCCCCAUCUCAGCUCCUCCGGGGCCUCGCCAAGACCUGGGAGGAAGGAGACAGGGUGACCCGGUGGCCUCCCUCAUGGCAGAAGGAGCAGUGCAGGCUGAGGCGGUUCUGCCGCCAGCCCCUGGGCAGUGCUGGGUACCGCUGCCCUCUGAGCCUGUGUCCUCACCAGGACCAAGUGCCCCACAGGGGGCCCCUCAGGACACACGGGUGUGUCGUAGUCAUGCUCUGAGUCUGCACCUAAGAAGAAAUGAUGGGUCAGUCCCUGCUGGGCUCAAGGUCCACCCUGAAAACAAGACUUCUGAGCUUUACAGGACCGUCCCUAUCUGCUGUCACCCCACGGUGUAGUACCACACCAGGGCUCCUGCCCUAAGUGCCCACGGACGGGCCCCUCCCUGUAGUGACUGCUGUCCUGCCUCCAGGAGUUGAGCCUGGCUGACGCACAGUGUGUCCACACUUCAGGACACCACGGGACCCCGUUUUUAUCUAUGAGUUUAAAGAAAGGGGGCUGGGCGCAACUCCGUGGUCACACUCUUGCCUGCGGGAGACGCUGGGCUCCAUCCCCGGCACCCCAGAAUACCAACAAACACAGGCAGGACUCUUGGGGACAGUGACGAAGUGGGCUGCCUCCUGUGCCUGACAGAGCAGUGAGGUCGGGGAGGCCCAGGGAUAGGUGAGGAAAAGACCCCGGGAGCGAGCGGCCGGGAUGUGGGGGGGGUCAGGCUGGGCGGGGGCUGGGCCAUGUGGACAGCAGCAGCAGGUCCUGGGUUCAGGCACAGAGGGGCAGAUGCCCACGACGCUCAGCUGGAACAGCCCCUCUGGUGCCCAAGAAGCACUUGACCUUGCUCUGCUCACAGUCCAGUCUCCGUGGGGAAAGGAACCACAUCUCCUUAAGCGGUGAACACUUCCAGGUACCUGUUCUGGCAGAUACUGUCACACCUUGUCACAUUGCCAGGCCCACAAAGUUGAGGUCAAAGUUCCUGCUACUUGGGGAGCCCUAAUGAUUAACCCGAGAGCCUCAGGCAGAGGGGGAGAUGCUGGUUUUAAAUGGAGUGAGAUUCGGAGCAGGGAGUGCAGGCUCAGGCCUAGCAUCACAGAGCACCAGCUAUGGGGGCUCUCCUUGGCCCAGAGUGGGGAUCUCGGCCCCUGGCCUCCUUGCCCCUUCUGUCUGGCAGCUCUUGCCUGGGAUGGAGCUGGUCCCAGAGCCCCCAGACAGUGCCCCUUGCAGUGCAGUGCAUGUGGAGGCAGGCAGGAGGGGUUCAGAUGACAGUAGGUGAGUGUUCAGUACUUCAAGAGAGAUGGAAGCUGGGCGCUGUGGCCCACACCUGUAAUCCCAGCAGCUCAGGAGGCUGAGGCAGGAGGAUUGCAAGUCAGAGGCCAGCCUCAGCAAUUUAGCAAGGACCUGAGCAACUUAGCGAGACCCUGUCUCUAAAUAAAAAAUAGAAAGGGCUGGGGAUGUGGCUUGGUUGUUAAGCAUCCUGGGUCCUGGGUUCAAUCCUCAGUACCAAAAAAAAUGGGUGGGGGAGAGAAAUGCCAGCGUGCAGCCAGGACCCUGCUUGUAGGGCUGGCAGUAGCCAUGUUUGUGCUCCCGUGCCUCUGGAGCACCCAGGAGCCAGGCCUUCUGAUUGACAGAUGAGCCACACCUCUUAGUAGCUAAGUAAUCCUGGAGCUUUUAAUUUUUGAGGGUCCAAGUUAGAAUUGCAGUGGUGCUUGAGCUGACUCCUGUGGUGACCGUGGAGUUCAGGUGACCCACGUAAGAGCUGAGUGCAUUUAACACCCAAAGGACAGUUUUACACCAGUGCACGGCGCUCACGGGCUAAUGAGGACAGUUAAGGGAACGUGGACUCAGGAGCAGUGAUAAUGACACCAGCCAGUCUUCACUGAGCACUCUAUCCGCCAAGCGCCUUGCAGCUCUGUGAGGGCAAGAGCUAUCCCACCCUGAUUUCCAGAUGGGAAAACAGAGACACGGAGAGGUUGGUAACCUGGCCAAAGUCACACAGCUAGAAAGGGAGACUUUGCCAUGUGAGGGUCUGGGACACAGUUCCUUGCACUGGAGGAAGGGACUCUGCUGUCAUGUUGGCAGCUCUGUGUGGGGCUUUUGAGGGAAUGUCCAAGUGCAAAUCCGAGAUCCCACUUCUGCUCCCACCGUCAUCUGUCAGGGGAUGGGCAGAUGGGGGGGGAGUGUCCCUGAGGCUUGGCCCCAGGGUCCUCAAUUGCCCCCCAAACUUCACUUCUGGCUCUACUGAGAGCAUCUGGGGAGCUCAGAGCAGGGUUUCUCCCUCUGCCCCUGGCCCGCCCCUCCCCCCACAUGCUUCUCCAGGCCUCUCAGGCUGCUCCCUCACCCCUCACCGGGGCCUCCCCAGCCCUGGGGCCAGGCUUAACUCCUUCCUCCUCCGCCUUUCAUCUCUGAACCACCUGCAGGAGCCAGGCUGCUUCAGGCCCUUGGGACGCGGGACAGCAGAGCUGGGCUCCUGCUCCUGGUGCCACGCACUGGGGGAGAGGGGGAGGAGAGGGUUAUGGGCAGCCGGGAGAUGGGGGGAGGAACCUUCCCGGGAGGUUGGUGGCCGAGGCCUGAAGUGGGCUGCAGAGGCCUGGGCACCGGGCUCUGGCAGCCAAAGGAGCAGCGUCCGGGUCAGUGUGAGGACUCGGCCCUGGAGGCUCCGGAGCACAGUCUGCCCUCAGUCUCACCAGAUGGCUCUGGCAGGGUACGCGUGCUGGGGGCCUGGGCUGGAGCUGCCCAGACGCCAGGUGCGCCAGGGAGGGAGGCCGUGGGCUGGACUCGGUGGAGGUGACGGGACGUUCCUGACUGACCGUGUGGCUGGGGUGGAGCAUCUGCUCAGCAGCACGGGGCCCUGGGUUCCACCCCAGCACUCAGGGGAAGGAGUCCUCAAAGCAGAGCCGUGCGGUGCGCUCGGCCUGUCCCCAGUGGUAAUGGGCGUGAACCCUGCAGGAUGGCCAGCCAGGACACUGACCUCACCCCACCUCCCCAGAUUGAUGUGGGGGUCUCCUGGGGGUCCCUCCCCUGCCUUCGCCCACCUCCCUGUGCUUUGCCUCCGGCUCUUCCUCACGGGGUUCAGGUCUCUGCCACCCCAGUCACGUGGCUGGGCAGCCCCAGCUCUGUGGGCUUCCCCUGUCCCCUUCCCCUCCCUGCGCAGCCCCUGGAAAGCCGAACCUGCCCUCCGCUUCUCAAAUGUCGCCAUUUCAAAAAUGUUCUAUAAAUGGAAUCCUAAGAGCCCGUAACCUUUCGGGAUUGGAUUUUUUCACUCCGUGUAACUCCCUGGAGAUUGAUCCAAGCUGCUGCGUGAACAGGAGUCUGGAUGCUUCUGCAGGUGGAGCCAACAGGGCCUGGGGGAGGAGCAGGCAGUAGGUGGAGAUCAGAGGGUGGAAUGCAGGGCCAGAGGCAUCCAGCCACCAGGCACCAGGGGUGGAG